AGCGGCCUUCGGGACUCCCCUCCAGCCCUGGGGCCGUCCCCGGCCUCCGCCUGGUCCCAGGGGCGCGGCCCAGGAGCUCAGAAAGGCCACC
rnacentral:precursor_RNA from 1 species